CAUAAAGCAGAGUUUAUGAUGGGAUUUACCACAGCUAGGAGCCUGUCUGCAUCAAGCAUUUAACGAGGGCAAAAGAAUGACAUAGCAAAAUGCAAGAGGAAAGGUGAACUCCAAACAGGCUUGAAAUACGGCUAACAAGAAAAUGAAUAUGCUAAGCUCUACGUGUGUUGUAUCAGAGAGGUACGUGUGAGACACCUUCCUCACCUACAGCCACAUCACUGCUACAUCCAUAGCUUCUGGUGCACCUUUGGGAGUGUGUGUUCUGCUGCACCCCCAAAUACUCUGGAGAACAGCAAACACAAUGGAGAGCAAAAGAAACCAUAAGCUGGAGAGCUCAGUUAGACUUCCAUAAACUAGAGGAGGGCCUGGAGGAGGGAAGAAGGUGACCUCUGCCUGCCUGCAACUCUGUGAACUGCAGCCCCACUUUCCUGAUCACAUUUCUUUGGACUUGAAUAUACACUGCCAUUGUGGAAUGCCUUUCCCUCUACCACCACCUCUUCAAAAUAAACAUGAGAGUUGAAGCCUUUCACAAGAUGGGCUGCAACACAGCUGAAUUUGCAUCUUGGCUAACUAAAUAAAGGCAUUUGGAAGGACA